UACGUAGGGUGCAAGCGUUGUCCGGAAUUAUUGGGCGUAAAGAGCUCGUAGGCGGUCUGUCGCGUCUGCUGUGAAAACCUAGGGCUUAACUCUGGGCGUGCAGUGGGUACGGGCAGGCUAGAGUGCGGUAGGGGAGACUGGAAUUCCUGGUGUAGCGGUGGAAUGCGCAGAUAUCAGGAGGAACACCGAUGGCGAAGGCAGGUCACUGGGCCGCAACUGACGCUGAGGAGCGAAAGCAUGGGGAGCGAACAGG
rnacentral:rRNA from 1 species